CCUACGGGAGGCAGCAGUGGGGAAUUUUGGACAAUGGACGCAAGUCUGAUCCAGCCAUGCCGCGUGUGGGAAGAAGGCCUUCGGGUUGUAAACCACUUUUGUCAGGGAAGAAACGGUCUAGGUUAAUACCUUGGGCUAAUGACGGUACCUGAAGAAUAAGCACCGGCUAACUACGUGCCAGCAGCCGCGGUAAUACGUAGGGUGCAAGCGUUAAUCGGAAUUACUGGGCGUAAAGCGUGCGCAGGCGGUUAUGCAAGACAGAUGUGAAAUCCCCGGGCUCAACCUGGGAACUGCAUUUGUGACUGCAUGGCUAGAGUACGGUAGAGGGGGAUGGAAUUCCGCGUGUAGCAGUGAAAUGCGUAGAUAUGCGGAGGAACACCGAUGGCGAAGGCAAUCCCCUGGACCUGUACUGACGCUCAUGCACGAAAGCGUGGGGAGCAAACAGGAUUAGAUACCCUGGUAGUCCACGCCCUAAACGAUGUCAACUGGUUNUUGGGAGGGUUUCUUCUCAGUACGUAGCUAACGCGUGAAGUUGACCGCCUGGGGAGUCGGCGCAAGGUUGAACUUAAGGAAUUGACGGNUGNGAGNGCGAGAGACGACGAGGAGAGG
rnacentral:rRNA from 1 species